rnacentral:rRNA from 1 species
GUUUUAGCCGCCGCGGUAAUACGGGGGGGGCAAGCGUUGUUCGGAAUUACUGGGCGUAAAGGGUUCGUAGGUGGCCUGCUAAGUCACACGUGAAAUCCCUCAGCUUAACUGGGGAACUGCGUGUGAUACUGGCGAGCUUGAGUGCAGGAGAGGAACGCGGAAUUCCAGGUGUAGCGGUGAAAUGCGUAGAUAUCUGGAGGAACACCGGUGGCGAAGGCGGCGUUCUGGACUGCAACUGACACUGAUGAACGAAAGCCAGGGGAGCAAACGGGAUUAGAAACCCUUGUAGUCC